rnacentral:tRNA from 1 species
GCGGGCGUGGCGAAAUUGGCAGACGCGUCAGAUUUAGGUUCUGGUGGGGUAACACCCGUGGAGGUUCGAGUCCUCUCGCCCGCA